rnacentral:rRNA from 1 species
GGACGAACGCUGGCGGCGUGCCUAAUACAUGCAAGUAGAACGCUGAAGACUUUAGCUUGCUAGAGUUGGAAGAGUUGCGAACGGGUGAGUAACGCGUAGGUAACCUGCCUAUUAGCGGGGGAUAACUAUUGGAAACGAUAGCUAAUACCGCAUAAUAGUGUUUAACACAUGUUAGAGACUUGAAAGAUGCAAUUGCAUCACUAGUAGAUGGACCUGCGUUGUAUUAGCUAGUUGGUGGGGUAACGGCCUACCAAGGCGACGAUACAUAGCCGACCUGAGAGGGUGAUCGGCCACACUGGGACUGAGACACGGCCCAGACUCCUACGGGAGGCAGCAGUAGGGAAUCUUCGGCAAUGGGGGCAACCCUGACCGAGCAACGCCGCGUGAAGUGAAGAAGGUUUUCGGAUCGUAAAGCUCUGUUGUAAGAGAAGAACGUGUGUGAGAGUGGAAAGUUCACACAGUGACGGUAACUUACCAGAAAGGGACGGCUAACUACGUGCCAGCCGCCGC